rnacentral:rRNA from 1 species
UACGGAGGGGGCAAGCGUUGUUCGGAAUCAUUGGGCGUAAAGAGUAUGUAGGCGGCUAUUUAAGUCAGGCGUGCAAGCCCACGGCUCAACCGUGGAAUUGCGUCUGAAACUAUUUAGCUUGAGUUCAGGAGAGGAAGGCGGAAUUCCCAGUGUAGCGGUGAAAUGCAUUGAUAUUGGGAAGAACACCGGUGGCGAAGGCGGCCUUCUGGUCUGAUACUGACGCUGAGGGACGAAAGCGUGGGUAGCAAACCGG